GGAUGUGAGGGCAAUCUGGCUGCAACAUCUGUCACCCCAUUGAUUGCCAGGGUUGAUUCGGCUGAUCUGGCUGGCUAGACGCAUGUCCCCUUCCUCCCUCACUGCUCCAUGUGUGUCCUUCAUGAAGCUGCACACGCGGUUGAAGAGGACAACCGUCCCCGAUAAAGGACUACCGGUCAAGGGUAUAGGAGUAGCUGCGCUCCCCUGCUGGAACCUCCAAACAAGCUCUCAAGAUGGCAAUUUAUUAAAUAAUUUAUUCAUUCAUUUUGUAUUAUUUUUAAACCAUUUAUAUUGAAAUAAUUA
rnacentral:snRNA from 10 species